rnacentral:rRNA from 1 species
AUUGAACGCUGGCGGCAGGCCUAACACAUGCAAGUCGAACGAGUGGCGGACGGGUGAGUAAUGUCUGGGAAACUGCCUGAUGGAGGGGGAUAACUACUGGAAACGGUAGCUAAUACCGCAUACCAUCAGAUGUGCCCAGAUGGGAUUAGCUAGUGGGUGGGGUAACGGCUCACCAAGGCGAGGAUCCCUAGCUGGUCUGAGAGGAUGACCGGCCAAACUGGAAUGGAGACACGGUCCAGACUCCUACGGGAGGCAGCAGUGGGGAAUAUUGCACAAUGGGCGCAAGCCUGAUGCAGCCAUGCCGCGUGUAUGAAGAAGGCCUUCGGGUUGUAAAGUACUUGCAGCGGGGAGGCGGGAGGCGAAGAAGAAGCACCGGCUAACUCCGUGCCAGCAGCCGCGGUAAUAG